UUAGGUUUAGAUGAGAAAGUUAAUAAAUAUGAGUAUUUGGUCAUAAAAAGGGAAAAACGUAAAAGAAGGGUUUUGGAGAGUUCUUGAAGAAAAAUCAAGAGUGAGAGAACAAGCUUAGGAAUUGAAGAGGAAGACCAAAGUUUCCAACAAAUUGUUAAGGUUCCCAGGUCAAGGAUACUGCUGUCGAGGAGUAGUUGUUUACUUGCUUGCUUAUUUUGGCGAGGAGAUUGGCGAGAUGCCUCUCCGUUUAUUUUGUUUUAUUUAUUUUGGGAUGUAAUAAUAGUACCUAGUGUCGCUCUGGUAGUGUAACAUCGGGACAAGUUGAUAUUUACUUUAUAUCUUAUAUAUGUCGGAUGUAUGUGGCUUUGAUAGCCUUACUUUCAUAUGUGAAAUUUAUGUUAUGAAAUGCAUGAGUAAUUCAUA